rnacentral:lncRNA from 1 species
AUGCCCGGUGCUCUGCUUCUCUCUGCAAGCGGCUCCAACGGCCAGCGCCGGGCCAGGCAGAAGCCAGGAGGCUUGACCUCCAUUCAGGGCGCCCAGGAGGCCGGGAGGCGUGGUCCCUGGGUCACAGGCUGGAGAGGCCGCCCCGCCUGCAGCCCUGGGGCUUCGGAGGCUGGACGCGGCAGGCAGCGCGGAGGUGCGUCCCGCGGCGCCACGGCGGCCGCCCAUGGGGAGUGCGCCUGCGCCCGGCGCUGUGACCCGGAAGUGGCCCCUUGUGCCCCGGAAGUGGCCCCUUGUGGCCCGCGGCGCUCAGGUAGGAGUCCUCGCGGGUCCCGUCCGCUGCUGCCGGAGAGCCCGCGCGAGCCGUCGGGAGCCGUCCUGGACGCUGCCGGCGGAGCCUGCGGGAGACCCAGCGCCCCCGGGGUCAGGCCGGGCUCAGAGAGGCUGCGGCCCGAGGCUGCCGCGCCGUUUCCCGGGCGCGGUUCUCUUCUUCGGCCCCUCGUGGAAGCAGCGGCCUUCGCGGGCCUCUGUGCCGCCAGCAGACCGGGCCCCCUUGGCGCAUCCAGCGUCGUGGAGUUCUUUGUUGGAACAUGUGCUGAGCACUGGCGCCAAGCCUUCGAACAAGGAGGUGUUCCACUAUUAGAUGAUUGACUAAAGAAUGGAAGGAAACAGAAGACAGAAGCCUUUAUCUUAAUCUUUCUUUGCUUAAAGAAUCCAUCAGGUAAGAUCUGUGACUGGUGUGAAACUGAAUUUUCUAUCUACUCAGAAAAGUAUUCAAAUGAGCAUCAGAUCCAGAGAGUCCUUGAGGAAUUUGAGGAAUUCUGUUUUGAUUACUUGUAAAUAAUCUGAAAUAUGUGAAAUUGUAUUUCAAGUAAUUUUGUUCACUAUCACCAUAAUAAGCAUUUAUGUUGGAAUAACUGUAGAAUGGAUACUCUCCUCUCUCUUUCAGAUUUUUUAUUUAUAUUUUGUAAAAUUGGAACAGUAGGGAUCCUUCCAUUCUGCAUCAUUGAAAGCCAGCAGUAUUUGCUGGUGCCUGUUUUUAAAGUGUACAUAGAAAAGCUACCUUGUGUCUAUGAGUGUUGACAAUUGUGUUCCAGUCUGGCCAAAACCUUGUGACCCAGCAAUAAGAUCAUAAUAAACCAUCUAGGUAGGAAAAUGAGUUGACCUUC